GUGACUCAUUCUUCACAGCCAAAACAUCUAUUUUACUAUUCCGUACAAGGAAAUUCCGAUAUAAAAUAUAACACUUGAGAGAAAAAAAUAAAUAAAUAAAAGAAAUAUAUCAAAUCAGCAAAAAGAAAAGAGCCAUAACACUCCCCCUUUUCUGAUGACCCCUCUUCUCCCGAACAUUUUGCACCGACCCGGCCCAAUCCUCCUCCCGCUGCUGCCGACCGCAACACCUGCGGGUUAAAUCCCCGGAGGAGAAGAGACGCUGGAGGUCGAGGAGUGUUCAGCUGCCGACACUUCCAAAGGGGAGAAUUCCUUGUUGAUUAUAGAGGAGAAGUCCUAACUAAAACAAGAAUAUGAAAGAAGGCACAGAGUGUACCAUGACAAGCUUCAAGUUUUUGUGUUGGAACUUUGUUUCAAUGGAAAAUAGUUACGGGGACUCCCGACAUAGAACAACAAUCAAAUGGUUCAGCCAGCUGUGUAGCAGAUGAUGAGGCAGAGAAGUAUCACCUGUAUGACA